rnacentral:rRNA from 1 species
GAUGAACGCUGGCGGCGUGCCUAAUACAUGCAAGUCGAGCGAACGGACGAGAAGCUUGCUUCUUUGUUGUUAGCGGCGGACGGGUGAGUAACACGUGGAUAACCUACCUAUAAGACUGGGAUAACUUCGGGAAACCGGAGCUAAUACCGGAUAAUAUUUUGAACCGCAUGGUUCAUAAGUGAAAGACGGUCUUGCUGUCUCUUAUAGAUGGAUCUGGGCUGCAUUAGCUAGUUGGUACGGUAACGGCUUACCAAGGGAACGAUGCAUAGCCGACGUGAGAGGGUGAUCGCCGACACGGGAGCUGAGACGCGGACCAGACUCCUGAGGGAGGCAGCAGUAGGGAAUCUUCCGCAGUAGGGGGAAACCUGACGGAGCGACGCGGAGUGAGAGAUGAAGGUCUUCGGUUCGUGAAACUCUGUUAUGAGGGAAGAACAGAUGUGUAAGUAACUGUGGAGAGCGUGACGGUACCUGGUCAGGAAGCCACGGCUAACUACGUG